AGAGUUGAGCUUUUGUUGCUUCGAUCCCAGCUGCGCCUAGGUUCUGUCUUCCAAGAGUUUCUUGUGCUUUCUCCAGGAUCGACUGCAGUUUUUCUACCAAGCAAAUUCAUCAACGUUGAGAGCUGAUGAGUUUAGGCAUGCAUGUUUAAAGUGUUGAUAGAUUACCUGAAGAUGACUCUUGAGAUGGUAUAAGGUUGUCAAAAUGGUUCAUUUGUUAAUAAUAUAACGUACUAUCUCCUCCUCCAAGCUGGUUGACCGCUUCAACAAAUCUCUCGUGAAGAUCUGG